rnacentral:lncRNA from 1 species
AAAAAAUUCUAUCAAAACAAAAUACAGAUCUGAAUUUACAAAUACAAAAUGAUGCAUACACUACAUUACUCUUGCUGAAAUGAUCUCAAAUAGAAAUAUUUUGAAUCCCAGACCAAAAUACCGGAUCACACCCUCACUCUUAAAAAAGAAAAUUUAAAAUCCCAGACCAAAUCCAGAUUUAACCCCUACCAUUUAAAAAGAAAAUUUUGAAGCCCAAACCAAAUUGUAACUAUCUGAUUUGUAGCAGGUCAAGUUUACGGUCUUAUUUCAUACACGCCAGUGACUUACGACCACAUCAUGCAAAAAAAGGUAAGUUUACGGUCUUAUUUCAUACACGCCAGUGACUUACGACUUUAUCAUUCAAACAAGAGGUACGCACCCUGUCUCCAAAUCAUGUAGUACUGAUGCACAAUUUAAAUUCUGUGCUGUUUUGAUAAAAUUUAAUUUAAGAUCAACAGUUUUUAGAGCAAUGCAGUUUUUCACCAGUAUAUUAAAAAAAAUGAGAAAAAUUAUGAAAGCCCGUUUUCUCCCCCACUAAAAACAAUAUGAAAGAUAUAAACUUAUUUUUGGAUUUAAAUUGAACCUAUUCAGAUUUUAACAUGAAUAAAAGUUAGAUCCCAGUGACCUACUUUUGCCAGAAGGGCAGCCCCUACAUAUCAGACUCAAUGAACUGAUGCAAUACAGUAGUCUUUCAACUUAACCAAAUUCAAAUAUAAUUAAUACACAGUGUCAGAUCUAAUUCUAGUAUAAACGCAUCUAUAGUGGGAUUUAAUCAUUUCAAACUAUACUAGUAACAUGUAAAAAAUGUCAAAAUUAAAUUAAACUUAACAAAAUGUAGACUAAAAAAAAAGAAGAUUGUCAGAUGAUUGUUUAUAGAAUAGUUCUAAAUGUGAUUAGGCCUAGAUUAAUAUAUUGUUUGUUUCCCCAAUCCCGACCCUGCUGAGCCAGGUGUGGGUAGGUAGGUAGGGAAAUAAUUUUAUUUUUCCAAAAAGCUUGAAAAUUAUCGGACGAUCCAACAAGCCUGAAAAUCAGAAAUGAAUAAAAUAAUAUUUGACUUAGUUUUGACAAUAAAAUUUUAUGAGUAGCACCAUUUUUGCAGGGUCGGUCGGGAUUGGGGAAACAAACUAUAUUUUAUUUUAGGCCUUAAAAUACAGAUGUACAUGCUUUGCUUACAAUGAUCUGAAAAUGCUCCGCUCUAAUUUCUGUUUUAAAGACCUUUCGUGAUCCUUUUGUUUGUCAUUAUGAUGCUGCACACCUUCAAAAAUUUGGAGGCAGAAAUCAUUGGAUAUAAAUGAUAUAAUACUAAAACAUAGAAAAGAACCAAGUGUUGCCAUAUCAUUGUAGGCAAAGCAUUGACACUUGAUAUGUAAUCUUAACAGAUUGAAAAGUCUCAAAUUGACAGAAAUGUAUUGUAUCAAAUUCAUGUAUAGAUCCUGCAAGACAUAUACAUUGACCACUUGAUCUAUGAUGGCAAAGGAAGUCCUAAUUUGAACAAAAAAACAAAUUUUGAUAGAAUAAUAAAAAAAAAAAGCUCUGGUAAUGAAAUUUUGAAAUAAG